rnacentral:lncRNA from 1 species
GGACUUCGGCGGUGGCGGCGGGGUCUCCUCUCCCUUCGUUCGGAGGUUGCUGGCGCAGACGGGUGACCUCGAGCGAUGACGGCGUGCUGACAAGGCGCUUCGACACGGCAGCGAGUUGCGGGUGAGGUGCGCGGCUAUGCUGGUCCAUGUUGGCUGCCUGGUGGGUUGCUUGUUCUGUGGGCCUGUGGCAGCCUGACUGCUCGAUGUGGAUAGGCCAUAUCCAGCACCGGUGUUGCGGGUAGCACUGGACAUUGUUGGUCCUUCUAUUCUUUGAGUCCCAAAAAUAUCGAUCUACUCUAUGCCGGCUUCCUCGAUUUGGAUGC